rnacentral:rRNA from 1 species
UGCCAGCAGCCGCGGUAAUACGGAGGGGACUAGCGUUGUUCGGAAUUACUGGGCGUAAAGCGCACGUAGGCGGAUUGAUCAGUCAGGGGUGAAAUCCCGGGGCUCAACCCCGGAACUGCCUUUGAUACUGUCAAUCUAGAGAUCGAGAGAGGUGAGUGGAAUUCCGAGUGUAGAGGUGAAAGUCGUAGAUAUUGGGAAGAACACCAGUGGCGAAGGCGGCUUUAUGGACCGAUACUGACGCUGAGACGCGAAAGCGUGGGGAGCAAACAGGAUUAGAUA